GACGAACGCUGGCGGCGUGCCUAAUGCAUGCAAGUCGCACGCAGCACCUUCGGGUGCUGAGUGGCGCACGGCUGAGGAUCACGUGGGAACAUGCCUCCUUGUGGGGGACAACACCGCGAAAGCGGUGCUAAUCCCGCAUACGCUCGGUAACGAGGAAAGCGUGCAAACGCGCAGGGAGAGUGGCCCGCGGCCCAUCAGGUCGUUGGUGGGGUAAGGCCUACCAAGCCGGUGACGGGUAGCUGGUCUGUGAGGACAGACAGCCAGACUGGGACUGAGACACGGCCCAGACUCCUACGGGAGGCAGCAGCAAGGAAUUUUUCGUCAAUGGGCGCAAGCCUGAACGAGCAACGCCGCGU
rnacentral:rRNA from 1 species